UGGAGACAAAAAUACGAUCCUAGUGAUAAGAGGAAAGGAGAUUUGUUUAGUCGACUUCCUCAAUCUUGGGACCAGCUCCACUUCCCCCAGCAGAGGGCCCAUCCUCAUCCAUCCCGCCUCCCAUGUCUGCGCCCGCACCCUGGUACAUCUUCGCAAUGAUGGGGUUACAGAUCCCCUCCAGCUCCUUCAUCUUAUCCUCAAACUCGUCAGCCUCUGCAAGCUGGUUCCCAUCCAGCCACUGGAUCGCCUGAUCUAUGGCGUCCUCAAUCUUCUUUUUGUCAGCCGGACUCAGCUUCGACGAGAUCUUCUCAUCCUUCACGGUGUUCCUCAUGUUAUACGCGUAGUUCUCCAAAGCGUUCUUGGCCUCCACCUUCUUCUUGUGCUCCUCGUCCUCCGACUUGUACUUCUCGGCAUCCUGAACCAUCUUCUCGAUCUCAUCCUUGCUCAAUCUGCCCUUAUCGUUGGUGAUGGUGAUCUUAUUCUUCUGCCCAGUAGUCUUAUCCUCAGCAGAGACAUU
rnacentral:lncRNA from 1 species